CCUACGGGUGGCAGCAGUGGGGAAUAUUGCACAAUGGGGGAAACCCUGAUGCAGCGACGCCGCGUGAGUGAAGAAGGAAUUCGUUAUGUAAAGCUCCAUCAGCAGGGAAGAAAAUGACGGUACCUGAGUAAGAAGCACCGGCUAACGACGUGCCAGCAGCCGCCGUAACAUGUAGGGGGCAAGCGUUAUCCGGAGUUACUGGGUGUAAAGGGAGCGUAGACGGCAGUGCAAGUCUGGAGGGAAAGGCGGGGGCUCAACCCCCGGACUGCGCUGGAAACUGUACGGCUGGAGUGCAGGAGAGGUAAGCGGAAUUCCUGGUGUAGCGGUGAAAUGCGUAGAUAUUAGGAGGAACACCAGUGGCGAAGGCGGCUUACUGGACUGUAACUGACGUUGAGGCUCGAAAGCGUGGGGAGCAAACAGGAUUAGAUACCCGGGUAGUC
rnacentral:rRNA from 1 species